rnacentral:lncRNA from 1 species
CAACAUGAAUUCUCCCCACCCCUAUCCCCGAUAGAGAUCGAGUUGCCCUGUGACCACAGCAAGAAGAGGCUGGAAGAUGAGAUGAUAAAUGAUGACAAAUCAUAACCAUAAAAUCAUUUCCCUUCCCUUUUCUGGAACGCAUUACAACUAGCAAAAUAUUUUUAAAUUUGUGGCCUCAUUUGAUCCUCUCAGUAUAGCUAUUUUUUGCUCUUUCCUGUCUAAAGGAAUCCCUUUAGAAUGGCUUCAUAGAAACACAGUCCUGUAGAAUUGGAAGAUACCAGAUAAACUAUUUUUUUCUUUAAAGUAAUAAUAUUACAGAAAUAAACAUCUUAGCCCAGAGGGUGUGAAAUUAAUGAAAUUCUUUUUUUUUUUACAAUGAGGAAGCUGAGGCCAGGAACAUUUCAGUAACUUGAUUAGUCACAGAAACGGAUCCCUGGUUGCCUGAAUCUCAAUGCACUGUUUCUCCCAUGCUUCUAUCUGCCUCUCAGACGUACAGUCAGGUUAGAGUCCCACCAUUUUUUUUUUGGCCUAAGGCAAGUUUGACAUAUGGGAUUCAUUUUAUGUUCUAACUCCAGUAUGUCUGAAGCAGUUACCAAAAGCGUUGUGUGGAGCAGGGCUUAAUGGGAACAAGUGUCAUACUUGAUUACUGACGUCUGCCACGGACGCAGGUUGGAGAGAGUAGCAGCACUCACGUCUCCUGCCCUGGGUGAAGACACUGCCACUCCAGGAGACUUUUUUCUUCUUUUAAUAGAAACACCUUUUGGAAUACUGUAUCACAUUAACAACUUGUGGGCAAUUUAUUCUUCUAGAAAUGGCAAGUGCAAGAGACCAAGGCAAAUUGUACAAACACACUGAAAGCCACGGCUCAUGCCAAAGGCGCUAACAUUCCGCUGGCUUAAGCGGGUCAUGUGCUCAUCGCAGCAUCACUGCUGUGGAGAAACGGGCUUCACUUACUCGGACGCAGCAUUACUGCUAGGUUAUCUGGUAAAGCGCAUCCACGUGUGUGCCUUCUAUACGGAGGGAGCGAAGAGGGUGAACAAUACUCAGUCUAGAAAGUCACCAAGUAACUUGAGUGUACGGAUUCAGCCUGAUGAAUCCUCCUUUCUCCACUGUCUGGCAUGCGAUAAAAAGGACAGCUAGCCCAGGGAAAAAAGAAAGAAAAAGCCGAGUAUUAGAAGAGCCUGCAUGGAAGUUGAACCCUGUCUGGCACACAAAGGAAUUCAGAAGCCUCUAUUUCCCUUAGCAAGAACUCAGGUGUUCUUUUAUACUUGAGUUACAAACCACACAGGAAAGAGUCAAGGCUUGGAGCAUUUAAGGUCAAACUUGGCUUGCAGCUCUGAAGACUUCCAAGAAAGAAAGUCUGAGCUUAUUACACAGCAGAAGCCACAGGCUCUUUUCAAGCUAGGAAAUUUAUUCAGAGGCUCAAAAUAAAGCCGCUGGAUGGAACCAACUGUCCUCUGUCCAGUCACUGCACC